rnacentral:rRNA from 1 species
AAAAUCUUCAAAACUUUCAACAACGGAUCUCUUGGUUCUCGCAUCGAUGAAGAACGCAGCGAAAUGCGAUAAGUAAUAUGAAUUGCAGAUUUUCGUGAAUCAUCGAAUCUUUGAACGCACAUUGCGCCCUUUGGUAUUCCAAAGGGCAUGCCUGUUUGAGCGUCAUUU